ACCAAUGUAAAUAGCAUAACAGAGGUGUUAAACCUAUUUCUUGUCAUAUUAGAGAGUUGAUAGAACAACCAUCACUGAAAGCAAACAGCUAUAAGGAUAGUGGUGAGAGGAAUAGAGUUUUCUCCUAAUCCCAUCUACAUGGAAUUCAUUUCCUGGUGUUGUUGAUUGGAGACUUCAAGGGACUUAACUUCCUGGUUUUGGUGAUUGGAAUUUUCAAAGGUGCGAUUUUUCUUUGAUAAACAACAAAAACCCAUUUUGUGUGUAAACCCGAAUCCUAAGGUGCAUCAAGGUUCUUUUGCCCACACUACAGACUGGAGGUACAGCCAUAUGCGAAUAAGUUGAGAUCAGUGUGGUUCUUAUCUAAGUUUUGUGCAUCAAGGCGUUUGGCAUAUCCUAACCCUAUUUUUUCAUUCUAUUUCAUCUCCACGAUUUUUUUGUUAUUAACAAGAAUUUUUUAUUAAUAUAGGGUUUCUACAUGAUCAUCAUCUACUUCUGCCUGAGAGCCUAUAUUUGGAAUAACUGAUUUUUGCUUUGUCUCAUUGCAGGAUUGUGAUCUCGAUCCCUUUUCUUUUGCGGCAAGAGAAACCAAAAAGUGCAUGUUGCUAGGUAAGCCCUUUAACAGUAGGGAUUAUAUAGUGCAGAAGAAAGCGGAUUUGAAAAGAACGCCAUUUAGGAAAGAAGGCUGCCACAAAGUCAAAUAAAAAUUCGGAUUAAUGCGCGAAUGUUCAAUAAAUAUGGUUUUAGAGUUGGGGAAAGCUCACAGCAGAACUUUGAAAACAGGAUAGGAUGAGAGUCACAGUUACUAAAUUAAUUAUAUCAACUCAGGAACUGUCUUGCGUUUACAAAUCAACACAGGAACUCCCUGCAGAAGUGGACAAUUACCCAAGUAUAAUCAGUCGAUCACCAGUUCACCGCUCAUCUAAUAGCUUCUCACCAAUUCACUGCUCAACUGUUUUCCGUACGCGUUCCUAUGCUGGCAGCUCAACUGUUCAGCUGUUCUUCGAUCCACUACUAUUUUCUGUUCCACUUAUAGUCAUUCACCUGUUAGUCACUUUCUAGAUGGUCGUUUUACAAAUGACCGCUCCCCUGAUUGAAGAUCAAGGACUUGAAUAUUGGGUUGGAGGGUUACUGGGUUAUCUCUAAAUUAGCUAUUAGUUUUGACUUUUAUAUUGUUAAUGUGACAGUUGCGUGUCAGAAU